GUAGGGAAUAUUAGAAAUGGACGAAAGUCUGAUCUAGCAACACCGCGUGUGCGAAGAAGGCCUUCGGGUCGUAAAGCACUUUUUGGAAGAAAUAGGAAGGAAUGUACUUCCAGAAUAAGUCUCGGCUAACUACGUGCCAGCAGCCGCGGUAACACGUAGGAGGCAAACGUUAUCCGGAUUUACUGGGCGUAAAGCGCGUGUAGGUGGUACUGUAAGUAGGGCGUGAAAGCUCCUGGCUCAACUGGGAGAGGCCGUUCUAAACUACAGAACUAGAGGAUGGUAGAGGGAGGUGGAAUUCCAGGUGUAGCGGUGGAAUGCGCAGAUAUCUGGAGGAACACCGGUGGCGAAGGCGGCCUCCUGGACCAUUCCUGACACUCAGACGCGAAAGCUAGGGUAGCAAACGGGAUUAGAAACCCGAGUAGUCC
rnacentral:rRNA from 1 species